GUGUGUAGGUUGUAUAUUAAGUCUGUUGUUAAAUCUUUUGGCUUAACCAAAAAAUCGCGAUGGAAACUGGUAUGCUAGAGGGUGAGAGAGAGGAGUGGAAUUCUCGGAGUAGCGGUAAAAUGCGUAGAUAUCGAGAGGAACACCGAUGGCGAAAGCAGCUCCUUGGCUCAUUCCUGACAUUGAAACACGAAAGCGUGGGGAGCAAACAGGAUUAGAUACCCUGGUAGUCCACGCCGUAAACGAUGAUCACUAGACGUCAGUUUGGCUUUGCCGAAUUGGUGUCGUAGCUAACGCGUUAAGUGAUCCGCCUGGGGAGUACGAUCGCAAGAUUAAAACUUAAAGGAAUUGACGGGGGUCCGCACAAGCGGUGGAACAUGUGGUUUAAUUCGACACUACGCGAGGAACCUUACCUGGGCUUGACAUGUUUUUGAUCGCUAUAGAAAUAUAGUUUUCUAGGCUUCGGUUUAGACAAUUUCACAGGUGCUGCAUGGCUGUCGUCAGCUCGUGUCGUGAGACGUUAGGUUAAGUCCUCUAACGAGCGCAACCCUUGCCAUCAGUU
rnacentral:rRNA from 1 species